rnacentral:rRNA from 1 species
UACGUAGGGUGCAAGCGUUGUCCGGAGUUAUUGGGCGUAAAGAGCUCGUAGGCGGUUUUGUUGCGUCGGCUGUGAAAUCCCGAGGCUCAACCUCGGGUCUGCAGUCGAUACGAGCAAACUAGAGUGUUGCAGGGGAGACUGGAAUUCCUGGUGUAGCGGUGAAAUGCGCAGAUAUCAGGAGGAACACCAAUGGCGAAGGCAGAUCUCUGGGCCGUAACUGACGCUGAGGAGCGAAAGCAUGGGGGAGCGAACAAG